rnacentral:rRNA from 1 species
AAUGAACGCUGGCGGCAGGCCUAACACAUGCAAGUCGAACGAGUGGCGGAGGGGUGAGUAAGGGCUGGGAAACUGGCUGAUGUAGGGGGAUAACUACUGGAAACGGUAGCUAAAACCGCAUAACAUCGGAUGUGGCGAGGUGGGAUUAGCUAGUGGGUGGGGUACAGGCGAACCUAGGCGACAAUGCCUAGCUGGUCUGAGAGGAUGACCGGCCACACUGGAACUGAUACACGGUCCAGACUCCUACGGGAGGCAGCAGUGGGGAAUAUUGCACAAUGGGCGAAAGCCUGAUGCAGCCAUGCCGCGUGUAUGAAGAAGGCCUUCGGGUUGUAAAGUACUUUCAGCGGGGAGGCGUUACCCGAAGAAGAAGCACCGGCUAACUCCGUGCCAGCAGCCGCGGUAAUAC